AGAACGAGAUAGUCUGAGGGAAAGGCUAAAGAUUGCUCAAGAGACAGCGUUUAAUGAGAAAGCUCACUUGGAACAGAGGAUAGAGGAGCUGGAGUGUACAGUUCAUAAUG